rnacentral:tmRNA from 1 species
GGGGGCGAAAUAGGUUUCGACAGAGAGAAAUCAAGAUAGUUUUGCCUGCCAAGUUUGUCGGGGACUUGUAAAAACCCGACAAAAAAUAACUGCCAGACCGGCAAAUCUUUUGGCUGCAUAAAAUGCAGUCACCCAUUUACAGAGUUUGCCUCUGACUCUGUAAAAUGGGUCGGUUAAAGAGGCAUUCUUCUUGAAGUUAUCCUUUUCCUUCAAGAAGAAUUAAGAAAAAGGAUGCGGAUAAAAGGGCUUGUCAGAAGUGCCUUUUUAUCCAAAGAAAUAAACUUCUGACUAUGCAGGUAGAGAAACUAUCAAGAUUCUCUCUGGACGCGGGGGCAGUACCCGCCGCCUCCAA